rnacentral:lncRNA from 1 species
GACAGAGCUUCUCCGAAAUAGGGUCUGCAGCAACAAGCGAUGGAGGUGGUUCCAGGCGGUGGAAGGCUCGAAGAGGAGGGAGCGGGGAAGAGGGAGAAAAUAGAGAGAAAGGGUUUGUUGGGAGAGAGAAAGAGAGAGAGGGAGUAGAAAAAUCUGAGAAGAAUGGGAGAGAAAGGGAAGAAUGGGAUAGAAUAGGGAGAGUAGGAAAAAAAAAAAGUCUGAGAAGAGGCAUGGGAAGAGAAAUGGGAUGAUUGUGCCCG